GAAUUUUUAAUGAUUAGAAAGAUUUGAUCAGUUAUCUUAGGAAAUAUAAAGAACAUGUCAAUAAGCAUUGAAGACUUAAAUCAGAUUAUGAAACUAUUUUUUAAAAGCCCUGACUCUCAUAUUUCUAUUUUAGGCAUCUGAAUAAAUGAUAAUAUUCAUUGUUUGGAGAUCAUAAAUGGAGCACAUUUAUGAGAAAAGUGGAGUCUUCAGCCAUGAAAAGUGUGAAAGCACGGUCAGGAUUACAGAUUUUGGCAGAAUGCAAAAGAGAGAGGAGGCAAUCCAAAUGUUAAUUUCCUUGUACACGAGAAAAAUAAAGUGUCCUAAGAAAUGACCUGUCCUUGGCCUUCCAAGAUCUUGCUUCCAGAAUAUCAACCUGUCAGGACUGGAAAGAAGCAAAAGCAGGUGAGACCAUCCGAG